UGCUGACAGCCUUUUAGAUUUUCUCAGAUGAGCUUUUAAACAUUUUCAAGACUUAAAAACUGGCUCACAGUGAGAAACAAAUUCCACAGUUCACAUGCUAAGCAUCCGCCAACUCCAUAUUCACAUUUUUCUGCAGUGUUUUAUGUAAUCUCCUGACUAAGUGUUGAUCGUUGUUCCUCCUUCCACCCUCCGCAUGGUGUAGUGUCCCACGUGCUCCUGGAAUGUUGUGUAGCAACUGAUACAAAGGCUUCUAUUGUAUGAAGUUGGGGAAGCUAGCAUCUCUAGCUGGACAAUAUGCUGCUGGGAGGUUAUUAAGAUAGCUUGAAACAUUUACUAAAGGGAAAAAAUGAACAGAGGAUUCAUGACUGAAAUAAAUUUCCAAAGAGACAUUACUUAUAUUUAUUAUACUCUUAAGGAUUGAACUAUGUCUGAAACAUUAAGACCAAAGCAGUAAUUGGCAUCUGGCUACUUUUACAAAGUUAUGGCUAUUUUCUAAAACACAUAAGUAAAAAUUAAUACAGCUAUUAUCUGGGUGGAGAGGGACGAUACAUAGUGAAAUGAAAUUACAAUGUAUGGGAGGGUCACAGCUCUGCAGAUGGGCCCACACUGUUCUGCAUUGUGCUAAUAGGGAGCUACAGCCCCUUUACUGCCCCAUCGUCAGGAGAUCCACUCUUGUUUAGGCACAGGACCCACGGGAUUUAAAUGUAACUAUGACAUGGAGGAUGGAACAGGUCUUACAGAUCAGAAUUCAAAAAUGAGCAUGAUCACACACACUUCCCAGCCAGGGAAAUUUCUGCGAGGUUAACUCUGUGCUUUAAUAGGCUACUACUGUGCUUUGGUAGGUCACUGCUGUUUUCUGCAAAACAGGGUGAUGCAAGUUCCUGGCCACACCCACAUGAUGAAAAUCCAGCGAAACUUUUCCUCUGUGUUGAAACAUCGAUGUGGAGAAACUUUUCCAGGCCCGGGAGGGUGGGGUGUGGGGCUGCACCGCGUGCCACAGGUUGCAGGCAAGCUGUGCAGACCUGAAGAAGUGCCAUUGCUUUGUUCCUCACACCUCAGCCAACCAAACGGGUGAUUGAAUGAGAAGCAGAGAUAAGUGAGUCCUCCGCUGCAUUAGUGAAAUCAUGUUUGCCUCUUUGUGUUCUAAAUUUUCCCAACCGCCCUCAAUUAUACAUAAAAGUAAAAUAAAAAUUCACAGUUGGCUGGAUGCCCCCUGCAGACCUGAGCUGGCGUUAUGGUCACUGCCGUGUCGCAUUAGUUACUCUUGGUUAACCCAGUGAAUACUGUAUUGAGCCCUGUCCUUGUUUGUCUGCAUUCCCUACAGUGGAUGAAUGAGGAGGGGUUACUGUGUGUACAGAAGGUGCC
rnacentral:lncRNA from 1 species